rnacentral:lncRNA from 1 species
GCCCUCUGUAUCCGUAUAUUUGUGAAAAUAAUCAUUCUUUUCCUACCCACAGCAAGAAAUCCCCCUGGCUCCUAGUCCAGUGACCAAACUACCCGUCAGCUUUGGUGGGGAGUGCAAGCUUCUCUUCCUGCAGUGUGCUCGUGGCGUGCACUAACCACACCUGUGGCCCAGGCCCAGGACAAGAAGCAGAGGAGUCUGAGCAGCCUCCGUGGGCAGGAGGGAGAAGGCUGGUGGAGCUGCUCGUGGGCUCUGGCAUCGCACCCUGGCUCUGAACUGUCUCCCUGCGGCAGUGUGGGGGCUGCCUCCCCGCUCAGUGUCAGCUUCCUACUGCUGUCCUGAUGCUCUCCACCUUGCACCUGUGAUGAACGUGCACGCCUCAUGGGUAUGUCUUUAUGGGUGUUGCCAAUGCUAAUCUCAC